rnacentral:rRNA from 1 species
AGACAGGUGGUGCAUGGUUGUCGUCAGCUCGUGUCGUGAGAUGUUGGGUUAAGUCCCGCAACGAGCGCAACCCUACGUUAGUUGCUAACGCGUGAAGGCGAGCACUCUAGACGAACUGCCGUUGACAAAACGGAGGAAGGUGGGAUGACGUCAAAUCAUCAUGCCCUUAUGUUCUGGGCUACGACACGUGCUACAAUGGCCGGUACAGACGGACGCAAAGCCGCGAGGUGGAGCAAAUCCUAAAAAGCCGGUCUCAGUUCGGAUUGCAGGCUGCAAUUCGCCUGCAUGAAGCCGGAAUCGCUAGUAAUCGCGAGUCAGCAUGCCGCGGUGAAUACGUUCCCGGGCCUU